rnacentral:rRNA from 1 species
UCUGGAAACUNUCUGACUUGAGUGCAGAAGGGGAGAGUGGAAUUCCAUGUGUAGCGGUGAAAUGCGUAGAUAUAUGGAGGANCACCAGUGGCGAAAGCGGCUCUCUGGUCUGUCACUGACGCUGAGGCUCGAAAGCGUGGGUAGCGAACAGGAUUAGAUACCCUGGUAGUNCACGCCGUAAACGAUGAGUGCUAGGUGUUAGGCCCUNUCCGGGGCUUAGUGCCGGAGCUAACGCAAUAAGCACUCCGCCUGGGGAGUACGACCGCAAGGUUGAAACUCAAAGGAAUUGACGGGGGCCCGCACAAGCGGUGGAGCAUGUGGUUUAAUUCGAAGCAACGCGAAGAACCUUACCAGGUCUUGACAUCCCGAUGCUAUUCUUAGAGAUAGGAAGUUACUUCGGUACAUCGGAGACAGGUGGUGCAUGGUUGUCGUCAGCUCGUGUCGUGAGAUGUUGGGUUAAGUCCCGCAACGAGCGCAACCCUUAUUGUUAGUUGCCAUCAUUAAGUUGGGCACUCUAGCGAGACUGCCGGUAAUAAACCGGAGGAAGGUGGGGAUGACGUCAAAUCAUCAUGCCCCUUAUGACCUGGGCUACACACGUGCUACAAUGGUCGGUACAACGAGUUGCGAGCCGGUGACGGCAAGCUAAUCUCUGAAAGCCGAUCUCAGUUCGGAUUGGAGGCUGCAACUCGCCUCCAUGAAGUCGGAAUCGCUAGUAAUCGCGGAUCAGCACGCCGCGGUGAAUACGUUCCCGGGCCUUGUACACACCGCCCGUCACACCACGAGAGUUUGUAACACCCGAAGUCGGUGAGGUAACCUUUUAGGGNCC